rnacentral:snoRNA from 9 species
GAUGCCGGACCUGCCGGCACCAUGGCUGCAGCUGCUCUGCUGCACCUGUGACCUUGGGGCAAAGAGGAAGCGGCUAUUUCUACGCUUAGUGCCCAGAACAGUGGGCACUAAGAAUGGUUUGUAGCCGGACAUUG